GCCGGGAUAGCUCAGCUGGGAGAGCAGUAGACUGAAGUUGCCGACAAAUGCAUUCUAAAGGCCGCGUGUUCGAGCCACGCUCCUGGCA